GAUGAACGCUGGCGGCGUGCCUAAUACAUGCAAGUCGAGCGAACAGACGAGGAGCUUGCUCCUCUGACGUUAGCGGCGGACUGGUGAGUAACACGUGGAUAACCUACCUAUAAGACUGGGAUAACUUCGGGAAACCGGAGCUAAUACCGGAUAAUAUAUUGAACCGCAUGGUUCAAUAGUGAAAGACGGUUUUGCUGUCACUUAUAGAUGGAUCCGCGCCGCAUUAGCUAGUUGGUAAGGUAACGGCUUACCAAGGCGACGAUGCGUAGCCGACCUGAGAGGGUGAUCGGCCACACUGGAACUGAGACACGGUCCAGACUCCUACGGGAGGCAGCAGUAGGGAAUCUUCCGCAAUGGGCGAAAGCUUGACGGAGCAACGCCGCGUGAGUGAUGAAGGUCUUCGGAUCGUAAAACUCUGUUAUUAGGGAAGAACAAAUGUGUAAGUAACUAUGCACGUCUUGACGGUACCUAAUCAGAAAGCCACGGCUAACUACGUG
rnacentral:rRNA from 1 species